rnacentral:rRNA from 1 species
GAUGAACGCUGGCGGCGUGCCUAAUACAUGCAAGUCGAGCGAACGGACGAGAAGCUUGCUUCUCUGAUGUUAGCGGCGGACGGGUGAGUAACACGUGGAUAGCCUACCUAUAAGACUGGGAUAACUUCGGGAAACCGGAGCUAAUACCGGAUAAUAUUUUGAACCGCAUGGUUCAAAAGUGAAAGACGGUCCUGCUGUCACUUAUAGAUGGAUCCGCGCUGCAUUAGCUAGUUGGUAAGGUAACGGCUUACCAAGGCAACGAUGCAUAGCCGACCUGAGAGGGUGAUCGGCCACACUGGAACUGAGACACGGUCCAGACUCCUACGGGAGGCAGCAGUAGGGAAUCUUCCGCAAUGGGCGAAAGCCUGACGGAGCAACGCCGCGUGAGUGAUGAAGGUCUUCGGAUCGUAAAACUCUGUUAUUAGGGAAGAACAUAUGUGUAAGUAACUGUGCACAUCUUGACGGUACCUAAUCAGAAAGCCACGGCUAACUACGUG